CGGGCCCCCUGCAGGGGCAGCAGGGGCAACCCCAGACACAUUUCCAGACGAUGAUCCACCACCUUCAGCCCCUUGGAGAGAAAGCACCUUAGAAAAGGAGCAAGAUUUUAUGUGGAACCAUGUAACAGCACAACGACGCUGCAGCCUAAGACGCCCUGUCCACAAUGGAGACAGAGAUCCCUUCCCUCUGCAAAAUGAAGCCUCACGUCACA